rnacentral:lncRNA from 1 species
UUGGUUCUCAUCACCACACCCAAACCCUAUUCCCGAAACCGAGUUUUCGCCACCGAAAGUGAACGUUUCCAUGGACAAGACCCCUCUUGUGGACGAGUAAUCUCCAUAGGUAUACAAAUACUCACAAGCUCCUCUCUCUUGGUUGCAACUAGACCGAGGCAAGGCUUCACAAAGACCAGAAGAGCAUCCAAUUUUUGAGUAAGAAGAAGACUUUUUCGGGUCGAAAAUAGGAGUUGGUUGGUCGUAACAAUCCGUGCAAGGCUUGCAUUGAGUCCAUAUAAGGUCACUUCCAGUAUCUAAUACAGCCGAGUAUUUAACCGGAGGGUUUCCUAUAGCUAAAUCCAUAAGAAACUCACCGCUUCCGCCAUGAGUAGGUGCUUUAAUGUUGUUAGUAUCAUCAGGACCUGAUGAUUCAGCCAAAACAGCUGCAGCUCCUAACCUGUUUAGCCUGUGGAAUCCACGGUUAAUACCUCUUUGGAUCUUUUGGAUCUUUGUGAGGUUUUUACCGGAAUCCACAUGUUGUAGACUUAAUCGUAAACCGGAUCUUGGAAGGAUUGUUGGAGGAGGAUGGUUGGUUAAUGAUUUUCUUGAUGAUGAAAGAGCGAUGAAACAUGAGAAGAUGAUAAGAAAGAAAGGGAGUAACAAGGAGGAAGAAGAAGUCAUGGUUUGUGUGCCAGUUCCAUCUUCAGCUAGUUCGAACAUAGACUUUUCCAUAGAAAGACGUUUUGAUCCAACGGUGAUGCCUUGUAGGUCAAGGUAAUAGAACGAGGGCUGUCUAGGGUUUCGUAGCAAGGACGUGGUUUUGAUGAGUUCCCCUUCUGACCUUCCACCGCUUUUCUUGACGAUCUCCGAGGCUAGAGAUCCAAUGAACAGCGAGCUAGACGCUUCGGUAUCAUCAAUGGUGGUUAAACAAUAAGAGAACUUAGUCUCCUUGAGCUGAGUUAUAAGCGAGAGAGGUCCACGACCAAGACCUACAAGACCCGACCCUUGUGAAAACCCGUCUCCUUGGUUCUCAUCACCACACCCAAACCCUAUUCCCGAAACCGAGUUUUCGCCACCGAAAGUGAACGUUUCCAUGGACAAGACCCCUCUUGUGGACGAGUAAUCUCCAUAGGUAUACAAAUACUCACAAGCUCCUCUCUCUUGGUUGCAACUCGACCGAGGCAAGGCUUCACAAAGACCAGAAGAGCAUCCAAUUUUUGAGUAAGAAGAAGACUUUUUCGGGUCGAAAAUAGGAGUUGGUUGGUGGUAACAAUCCGUGCAAGGCUUGCAUUGAGUCCAUAUAAGGUCACUUCCAGUAUCUAAUACAGCCGAGUAUUUAACCGGAGGGUUUCCUAUAGCUAAAUCCAUAAGAAACUCACCGCUUCCGCCAUGAGUAGGUGCUUUAAUGUUGUUAGUAUCAUCAGGACCUGAUGAUUCAGCCAAAACAGCUGCAGCUCCUAACCUGUUUAGCCUGUGGAAUCCACGGUUAAUACCUCUUUGGAUCUUUUGGAUCUUUGUGAGGUUUUUACCGGAAUCCACAUGUUGUAGACUUAAUCGUAAACCGGAUCUUGGAAGGAUUGUUGGAGGAGGAUGGUUGGUUAAUGAUUUUCUUGAUGAUGAAAGAGCGAUGAAACAUGAGAAGAUGAUAAGAAAGAAAGGGAGUAACAAGGAGGAAGAAGAAGUCAUGGUUUGUGUUGCUUUAAAUCAUAUAUUAUAUGAUAAAAGUGAUAAUAUAAAACAUUAGUUUCAAUGCUUUUACGAUUAAAAAUCAAAAUGAUAAAUAUAGUAAUAGUAAUGAUUAGGAUUUAGUAGUGAGAUUUAAAUAAAUAAAAGAAUUGACUAAAUUAUUGUUGGAGAAAUAUAUGGUAACAUAUUGUUAGUAUAAAUUUAAGGUAAGACCACAAAAUAAUGAAUUAAAUGAAAGGGUCCAAAUAACUUUUAUAGGUAGAUUUUUUUAUACUUCUUGUCUUUUAAUAGUAUUGAUGAUUAUGGUUUCACAUGGACAUAUGAAAACAAAUAAUAUAACUCAGUUUUAGCCAUAGGUUUUCAAUUAGUUAUUUAACAAUAAGGAAAUUAAAAUGAUUUACAAAUAUUUCUUCUAUUUUUUCAUGUUUUCAACUAUUUAAAAACUUCUUUAAUUUUUCUUUGAAACUUGAUCUAUUUUAUUAAUUUUCAUUUUCUAUUUCCUCGGAGAUAUCUCUACUGGUGUAAAAAAUAUUGAAGAACUUGACAUUGUAACAACUCACAAAGCAUGAAAGUUUAUUAAUAAUAAGAGAAGCAAACAGUUAAAAUCUACAAUUUUCCACAUUCAGCGGGAAUAAAUGAGACCUUAUCCUUCUCAAGAUCAUGAACAACAUUAAAAUUCUGUUGCUGAAAGUUUCCAAAAAUAGACAUCCCAUUAGAUUUCCCCAUAGCCAAACACAAAACGCCCGUACUCGGAUCCUCCACCACGUAAUUCUCUCCGGGAAGCUCCAAAUCCGCACCCUUAAAAUGAAAAACAAGCUUAGGAACAGCUAAGUUCUUCGCCUCAUUAGGUAACGUAUAACACAAGUCAAGUCCUGUGGAUCCUGAUUCAUCUACUGGUAAACUCAUCCGAGAAGUAAACUCCCUCUUCAAGGUAUUAAACACAACCUCCUCUAGAUACGUGAUGGUCGUGCCAGAGUCUAUGAUCAUGCCUCCAGUUCCAUCUUCAGCUAGUUCGAACAUAGACUUUUCCAUAGAAAGACGUUUUGAUCCAACGGUGAUGCCUUGUAGGUCAAGGUAAUAGAACGAGGGCUGUCUAGGGUUUCGUAGCAAGGACGUGGUUUUGAUGAGUUCCCCUUCUGACCUUCCACCGCUUUUCUUGACGAUCUCCGAGGCUAGAGAUCCAAUGAACAGCGAGCUAGACGCUUCGGUAUCAUCAAUGGUGGUUAAACAAUAAGAGAACUUAGUCUCCUUGAGCUGAGUUAUAAGCGAGAGCGGUCCACGACCAAGACCUACAAGACCCGACCCUUGUGAAAACCCGUCUCCUUGGUUCUCAUCACCACACCCAAACCCUAUUCCCGAAACCGAGUUUUCGCCACCGAAAGUGAACGUUUCCAUGGACAAGACCCCUCUUGUGGACGAGUAAUCUCCAUAGGUAUACAAAUACUCACAAGCUCCUCUCUCUUGGUUGCAACUAGACCGAGGCAAGGCUUCACAAAGACCAGAAGAGCAUCCAAUUUUUGAGUAAGAAGAAGACUUUUUCGGGUCGAAAAUAGGAGUUGGUUGGUCGUAACAAUCCGUGCAAGGCUUGCAUUGAGUCCAUAUAAGGUCACUUCCAGUAUCUAAUACAGCCGAGUAUUUAACCGGAGGGUUUCCUAUAGCUAAAUCCAUAAGAAACUCACCGCUUCCGCCAUGAGUAGGUGCUUUAAUGUUGUUAGUAUCAUCAGGACCUGAUGAUUCAGCCAAAACAGCUGCAGCUCCUAACCGGUUUAGCCUGUGGAAUCCACGGUUAAUACCUCUUUGGAUCUUUUGGAUCUUUGUGAGGUUUUUACCGGAAUCCACAUGUUGUAGACUUAAUCGUAAACCGGAUCUUGGAGGAGGAUGGUUUGUUAAUGAUUUUCUUGAUGAUGAAAGAGCGAUGAAACAUGAGAAGAUGAUAAGAAAGAAAGGGAGUAACAAGGAGGAAGAAGA